UACGUAGGUGGCAAGCGUUUGUCCGGAAUUAUUGGGCGUAAAGCGCGCGCAGGCGGCCUUUUAAGUCUGAUGUGAAAGCCCACGGCUCAACCGUGGAAGGUCAUUGGAAACUGAAAGGCUUGAGUACAGAAGAGGAAAACGGAAUUCCACGUGUAGCGGUGAAAUGCGUAGAGAUGUGGAGGAACACCAGUGGCGAAGGCGGCUUCUGGUCUGUAACUGACGUUGAGGCGCGAAAGCUAGGGGAGCAAACGGG
rnacentral:rRNA from 1 species